CAGGACCUCACGCGCGGCCAGAGAGCGCGCCAUGGUAAAGCCGGGGUGAGCGAUGCGCCAACGGCAGAUGCCAUUCUUGGGCCGGCUGGCCGACGCGCAGUCGGGAUCGGCGAUCGCCAGAUACGUGUUGAUAAAGGUCGCCGUCCUCGUGUCGGCGCGGGCGCCAAUCUGAACGGCACCGUGGACAAUGGCAGCGUGGAGGAUGCCCGCCAUGCGCCAGUCGCUUGGCUUGGUGCGAACCCACGGCGAUUCGGUCGGCUCGGGCGGGAUGGGCACGCAGAGGACGGCACCCGGCACGAGUUGUUCGGCGUCGACCAUUCGCGGCGCCACGUGACCGCGAUUGAUGCGCUCGCACAGCGAAACCAGACGCAGUCCCAGGGCGUCGGCCGAGCGGCGCUUGGCCUCUUUUUGGGCCGUAUCGGUGUCUGUCUCGCCAUCUCUAGAAUUCUCGCUGUCGUCAUCCUCGUCGUUCUUGCCACUGGCAUCCUCGCCAUCCUCGUUGGCUUCCUUUUGUGUCUUGCCAGUGGCCGCUUUGUUCAUCUUGGUCGCCGCCUCAAGGGUUGUUGUCGGUUUGGCUAGGCUGCCCUCUGCAUUGGUUGCGGUGUGGUCGUCGUCAGACUCAUCAGCAUUUGCGGUAUCCUGGGCAUCGAUGGGAUCAUUGGCAAUCACCACAGGACGGCCGUCGUCCAAGAGAUCGCAGAGGACCUGCACCUGGUGCUGCGGCGUCACCCUUACGCCAUGGCCAAAGCGCAGCGCGUCGACGGGCGGCGUGGCCCAAUGCGGGACAAAGGUACUGCCGGCGCCAAUCAGGUAGGUGGACCUGGUCGAGGGCGCAUGUCUGACGACGCUGCGGAGCGGGCACCAACGGCCAUCGUCUGAAAGCACGCGCACGCCCGUUGUGGGCACUACCGACGUCUCGGGUGCAUGGUCUGAACCAUCCGACGCAGGGCCGGUGGCAAUAUCGAUGGCGGCCUCACGGUACAAAAGGCCAAUGGGCACCGGACCACGCUCGGCCGUCAAGACAAGCGUGUCGCCCGAGAAGCACUGGUCGACAUAGCGCGCCGUGUCGUUAAAGACGCGGAGCAUGGGCACGAGGCCGUUGGACUGGCCGUUGGUGCCCGCCACGUAGGCGCCCGCGGCGCGCACCUUGUGUGCGGCAAAGCCGAUGCCGCCGGCCGCCUUGGAAAUGAGCGCGCACUGCUUGAGCGUGUCGUAGAUGCCCUCGAUCGAGUCGGCCUUCAUGUCCAACAGAAAGCACGACGAGUUUUGCGGGCGCGGCGUGCCGGCAUUAAAGAGCGUGGGCGUCGCCGAGGUGAACAACUGCUGCGACAUGGCCUCGUAGGUAGCGAGCACGUGCUCCAGCGCAUUGUCGACGUCGGCAAACCCAUAGUGCCCAAGGGCGACACGCAUGAGCAUGUAUUGGGGCCGUUCGACGACAACGUCGCGCACCUUGGUCAGAUAGGACCGGCGCAUGGUCGCCAGGCCAAAGUACGAGUAGCCAAAGUCUCGACUGUGAUGGAUGGCGGCGUCGAGGACCUCCUUGUGCUCUGCGACAAAGGCCACCAACUCGUCCGAAACCAACGGCACCGGGCGAUCCGUGCGGCGCUCGACAUUGGCGGCCAAGAGGGCGACGGCGUCCGAGAAGCGCGGCGGCGUGGACGCAUGGAGGGCGGUGACGGCCACGCGCGCCGCCAACUUUUCAUAGUCGAGGUGCGACGACGACAGGGCGACGGCGGUCUCGGCCAGCAGGGUGUCGCCCUGCUCGGGCGUCAUGCCCGCGCAGGAGCCCUCGAUGACGCGGCGCACGACAAUGUCGAGAUCAAGGGCGGGAUCGAGCGGUGGGUCCAGGCGGGCCAGCGCCGCCAAUUUGGCCGUCAGCGAGUCACGCUCGCUCGCGGUCGACCCGGCCGCGUGCUUGGCGUCGACCAGACGGGGCAUGACGUCGCCGCCGUCGACGUGGAUGUCGACGGCACAAGGGUCUGAUUGUUUUUGUGGUUGUUGCUGUAGUUGCUGACGGGAAUGCUCCAUCGCGUAGACCCCUCGAUCGAAAAAAAAAUGUGCAAAGGGGAAAAAAGGAUGGCCGAUGGGAUGGGCGGUGUGAUGGAGAAAAGAGGCCACGAGCGAGAAUGACACUGCCGCUUUUUGUGGGCGCACCGAGCGGCGGACCUGCGGGCCUCUUUUGUUCUCGCGCGCACUCGCCCGGUGUUUCGCCGCACCACCGCCCCACCCCGUGCGCCCUCUGCGUUGCCUGCGCUGCCUCUUCUUUUUUCCUCAAUCGUAUGUGCGCUCCCAUUGGUCG
rnacentral:lncRNA from 1 species